AACGGAAUUCUGUAAGUUGAAAUCUGUUGAGAUUCUUUUAUUGGAUAUCAGUUCAUUAAGAGAACUGCCCGAGGGCUUAGGGGAGAUGGUAUCAUUGAGACAUCUUGAUGCAACGUAUACAGCCAUAAAACAAUUCCCCAACGACCUUGGCCAUCUAAUUUCUUUGCAAGGGUUGAGUAUUGGAGUCACUGGUCGUAGCCUACCUAGCCUCAGUGGUCUUUCAAAUCUUGUAAAAUUGAGCAUACAUGGGUGCAAGAAUCUUCGUGCAAUCCCUGAUUUACCAACAAAUUUGGAAGUCUUGGGCGUAUAUUUUUGCCCUGCAUUGGAAACAAUGCCAGACUUUUUGCACAUGUCAAACAUGAGAAACCUGACUCUAUUGGAUUCGCCCAAAAUCACAGAGGUUCCAAGUUUAGGCUUCGGUGAAUCAUUAAACUCCAUGACAGAGCUUCAUAUGGAAGGAUGCACCAAUCUCACAACUGAGUUUAGAAAAAAAAUCCUACAGGUCUCUCUCGUUGUCUCAGACUCUUGUCUUUCUCUAUCACACACACACAAACACAAACGAACAUGUACAAGUAUUUGACACUACUAUAUUACGUUGUAUAUAUAUUAUAGGGAUGGACUUCUUGCGGAAAUGGUGGCAUUUUUCUUAAUAAGAUCGAUGAUAUUCCAGAUUGGUUCGAAAUUGUCGCAGACGGCAAUAGAGUCAGUUUUGAUGUUCCUCAGUGUGAUGAUCGUAAUUUUAAAGUGUUGACUCUCUGCUUCCUUCACUCGAAAAUCGGAGAAAAUUAUUGUCAUCCUGUCAUUACUGUUGUAAAUUGUACCAAGCAUACUACUUUGAAGGCCACUCUGGGCCUCUGUCGUGUGCAAAGGGGGUUUUUUUGGCAGGGACAAUUAUCGAACGAUAAGCUCAGUUUGCAAGGUGGGGACAAGAUUGUUAUUCUUAUAGAGGGUAUUGGAGUGAAGAAAACAGGGGUAAAUCUAGUAUGGAACAAACCUUUGAAGGAAAAUAUGCAUGGUAUGGAUGAUGGGGUGUAUAGAUAUGAAUCUGAACCACAUCCAGAUUGAUUGUAUGAUGAGUCAAGUGCAGGACCAAGCCAUGACGCAUCUGAUCAUCAUCCCACUAAUCAAAUGACGACUACUACAGAUGAACCCAAACGGAAAAGGCAAAGGGUUUGAAGAGAGAGCAUUGCCAGAUCGGUUGAAUAGUUGCUAUUCCUGCAUUAUACUCUCCCGCAGACCACGUCAGCGUCUUUCUCAUUUUCCCAGCUCCAUUAGUCGGACAUUUGAUUACGAUUUGUUCCUCGUUUUACAGACAUUUCAUUUGCAAUAUUGACUAGUUGUUCACUUGUUAAUUGUUCUAUGCUUUACAAAUAUUCAUAUUCUCUUGUGGAACCAAAUUAUUAGCAUCAUACUUCGACUUUUUUGGUUCUAAACCAAAAUUUUAGAUUGAAAUGUGCAGUUACUGACGAUGGAUGUAAACAUAUAGAAAUCAGGACUAUAAUCUCACUUGGAAUCCUUUCUAUCAGCUCCUCUGCUUCUUCUAACAGUCCAACAUGGCCAAUAAGGUCGAUCUGGCAACCAUAGUGCUAUAACUUCGGUGCAAUCUCUCAUAUAUCUUUCUCAUGGAGUUGAAGAACUCACGACCCUCAUCUACCAACCCUCUGUGAACACAAGCACUUAAGACAACAAUGAAGGUGAAAUCAUCAGGCUUCAUGUCAAUCUGUACCAUUUUCAAGAAGAACUCGAUUGCUUUGCUUGUCUUGCCAUUCCUUGCAAGCCCACAAAUGAUUGAAGUCCAAAGACUUGUCCGUGCUCCCACAUUUUGCAUACAUUUCUAUAACCACGGUACCAACAACUGCAUCAGUUUUAAUUCUGUUAUAUUCGAUAUACCUGCGAAUCCAUUCCUCUUGCUCUAAUGCUCCCAACCGAGCACAGCCUGUGAAGAGCAACCGCUGUAAAUUUAUCCCCUAACAUUUUAGUUUGCAUCUCUUGGAAUAGAGCCGCCCGCCUCGUUAAAAUGGUAGUAUAAUUGAAUUGUACAUACAUACCCAUAAAACACUUCUCUUGCCUCACCAAACCUACACAAUUUACAGAGCCAGAUACCACACAAGUACAACAGAACAUGUUUUUCACCGGCAUUUCAUAAAAAAUUCUCCGGCCUUCAUUCAAACAACCACAUUUAUGCAUUUCCAGUUCUAGCAGUGAAUCCAAGUUCACUUCUAACAUAUUCAUGAUUUUUUUUACCAACCCCCAAAUUUUUCAGCGCUGUGCAAGCCGAAAUGGUGCUUACAGCCGUAGCUUCAUCAGGCUUCUCGUUGCUCUCACAUCGCAUCCCCCGAAACACAUCCAAAGCCUCCUCAAACCUCCUGCACCUAAGAUACCUCGAGAUCGUAAUGUUCCAACAAAGCAUGUUUCUCUCAGACAUUUCAUCAAACACCUGCUUGAAACUCUCAACCAUGUCAAUGAGCGAGUCACACACACACACAUCAAACCCAUGAACCUUCACCUUCCCGAACCUCUCCCAAGCAUCCAAAGGCUUUGAAAACAAAUGGUUGCUUCCGGCAUUGGAAAACUCGAUGUGGGCAAGUCCUUUCUCUACUUCAAGGGUCCACUACAUCAUCUAAUUAAACAAAUACACAAUCACAUGGAUCAUGUAACUGUUGCACUUGAUAAGUGUUUGUAUCCUAAAAACCACUAUGUCAAAAAAAAAAAAAAAAUAAUAAUAAUAAUAAUAAUAAUAAAGAAAAAUUAACAAAAGUAAAAAAAAACUUUAAUUUUAAUGAAAAAUAACCAAUAAAGAUGUAGUGAAUAUUAUAAAAAAAAAAAGUAAAAAUGAACAACCGAACAUAUAUUAUUAAAACUCUUAAUAAUAAUUUGUUGAGUGCCCUAACUUUGAAACUUUUAACAAAUUAAUAAGAAGUACAAAAUGCGUUGACCAAAAAAUAAGAACAUGGAACAUAGGCUACUUGGCUAAACAUUUAAUAAAAAAUUAGGAUGUGGCCUCACGCCAUCUCCAACUGAAAGGUUCAGAAAGUUAAAAAUAGCCCGAAAAUUAUCUCCAACAGAGAGUUAGGCUAGAGGGCUGGCUGCAUGCAGCCAACCCGGGGAUGGCCAAAAAAUAGGGUAAUCCUGUCGGUUAGAUCUAACAUGAUUGCUUAAAAAAAAAUUGGAAUACAACGACUAGCUGACUAGCCGUUGUAUUCAAUUUUUUUUUUUUUUGGUUUUUUGGGCCGUUUUUUUAAUUUUUAAAAAUUCUAAUUUUUUUUUCUGGGCCAGUUACCGUUGUAGUUUUUAAAUUUAAGUUGUUGUAGUUUUUAAAUUUAAAUAAAUUAUGCUUGAUCUUAUGACACUUUGGCCCUCGGUUGGAGACGAUUUUUUGUGACAAGGUUAAAACGAGUCCUAUAACCAUUUGACACUCAGUCAGAGACAGAUGCAAAUAUGGCCAUGUAUUGUUUAUUAAAAUAUUAAUAUCUUGAAGAAUUAGAUGGCUAAAACGAGUUAUCUGGCCAGCCCUCAGUUAGAGAUGGCCCCACGUUUCUUUUUUUUGGCUCCUUUUCCAUUCUUUAUUCUUUAUUUUUUUUGUCGUAAUUAUUUUCCAAAACAUAAAAAAUAGAAAAUUAUUUUUAUCGGUAAAAGAAUGAGAAAUUUUUUUAUCUGACGACAUGUUUUGUUUUUCUUUUAAUUUUGUUAAUUUUUGGUGGGAUAUGAUAUGCACAAUUACAUCACUAAUCAAUAAAAUUACUCAAAAUCUGCAAAGAUCAACAAAUCAGAGCAGACUUUAAAUAAAUCUUACCCGAUUAAAUAACCAAAAAGUCUUCAAAACGCCGCGUUCUCCCUCCCGUAUGAACCAAAUCUCAACGCCGUAGAAAUUUCAAUGCUAUUCCUCCACAGCACCAUUAUCUCUGUACUGCAACGCUCUAGAAAUUUCACUUCGCUCCUCUGAGCUCGCCGGAGUUCCCUCCUAGAUCUCGGCCUCCGCCGCAACCCCUUCAUCCUCUUCGUUCCGCUUCAAGGAUCGGAGCUUUUCUACAUGUCGGUGAUGUACAAUUCUUCCAUAACUCUACAUUUCAAUCGAUUCAGUUGAUGUUUAAUGCAUUAAUUUCAAACGCAAAUAGUAGAUCGGCAUAAUCUUCAAAACCCAUAUCUCAGAUUUCUCUAUGAAGUGUUCACGUCUUCGAUUUCAUUCACUUGCCUCUGUUAGUGUAGCCUUUCGCUGUACAUAUAGCUCUUGAAAUUUUGAAGAUCUGCUAUCUUUCUUUUGCUCUGAAUUCGAAUUGGGUAUUUUAGUGAGUGACGGUGUCUUUAAUAGAAAUAUGACUCAUGCAUUGGUAAAUAUUAUAUUUAUUAAAAUAAGGAUGCAAUUGUAAAAUAAAUGCAACAUCAGUUCAAAUUUGAUUUCUUUAACAUUUUUUUUUUUUUUUAUGUAAUCUCAAUCGAAGUGCAUCUAUCCAGACACUUUCUCAGAGGAUUUUCGGUCCGCGGUGCCGACGCGUGGAUAUUCCCUAGAAGGGUGUGACCGCUUGCUGUCAAGUCCCAUCAUUUCGUGUACUUUUACUUUGUCGAACGCGGUUUCAUCUUAAAGCUGUUUUUUUUCCAAUCUUUUCCAAAAUUUCAAUCUUAACCGUCCAGUGAUAAGAUCGUGUGGCCACGAACGUCGUGGUUUUCCCCUGGAAACGUCCUUGGUUUUCUUCAAUACUUGGGCCGGAUGCUUCCUGGAAGAGCCGAAGAUUAGGCGGAACGCUUCCUGGAAUGAGCCAAAAGUUGUCCCUUAAGUAUUAUGUGUACUCUUGUGCUGCCAUAUUUUUCGCUCAAUUGGAACUACUCUAGCGCCGUAAACAGUAACACCACACCAUGACAUCCCAUGAACCCUCCUCGUCAAAGCUCUGGAAUUACGACGUGUUCUUGAGUUUUAGAGGCGAAGAUACACGCAAUGGCUUCACGGGCCACCUUCACGCGGCAUUACAAGACAGGGGCUUCGAUGCCUUUAUUGAUGAGGACAAUCUAAAACGAGGGGGAUAAAUAAAACCCAAACUGUUGCGGGCAAUCGAAGAGUCCAGAAUCUCGGUCAUUGUCUUCUCAAAGUGUUACGCGGAAUCAAGAUGGUGUCUUGACGAGCUGGUGAAGAUCAUGGAAUGUAGAGAAAAGCUGGGGCAACAGGUUUUGCCAAUAUUCUAUGAUGUCGAUCCUUCACAUGUGAGGAAGCAGGAAGGUUGUUUAGCCCGAGCAUUUCAGAAGCACGAAGAUGGCAUCCUUGAAGAAAAAGAUGACAAAGAACGUGAAGCUAAGAAAGAAAGGGUAAAGCAGUGGAGAGAGGCUCUUACUCAAGCUGCAGAUUUGUCUGGCCACCAUCUUAAUAAGGGGUAACCAUUUUCAUUGGACUUGGACGUCUUUCAAUACUCGACUAGUUUAAUAGUAAUGCUGCUAUCUAUUUUCGUCUUUUCCACAUUUUGAAACAUGUUAAUGAAUGGUUGUUAUGCAAAUAGCACACAGGAAAAAUAGCUUCAUUGGAACAUCAAGAUUUGCAAGAUAAAAUAUGACUAAUGCUUAAGGAGAUAGGAGACUACCUAUUUAAAAUAUAUUUUACAAGAGUUUAAUUAUAUUUAAUCGCCUAAAAUUUGAGGUUUUUUUUAUUUUUUUUAUCAUAUAUAUAUCAAACAUCUGUGCUUUUUAAGAUUUUGUGUAAGACGCUUAGGUACAUUAGGUUACAUCAGUAUUUUUUUAUUUAUCAAAUUAUAAAUUAUGAUUAUAAUUUUCAAAAUUAUGAGGAAUCGUGGAUAUGGUAUAAAAAAUGCCAAAUAACUUUCAAGACGGAAGUUGUCCUAUAGAAAGGCCUAACGAAUCUGUAAUUGGAAUUAGAAGAUCUCUUUUAAUUGAUUCUUAAGAGCAUAACAUGAGUUAUUCCGUAUUUUUUGAUUUGAUCAAAUUCGUGGGCGAUCCUAUAAAGAAACACUUGGUGCUAGAACUCAUUUUUAAAGAUAUUUUGGAGGUUGUGGACUCUUUUUUAAGAGACAAUCAUGGUCUUUCAUUUUAAAUAUAUGGUGCAAACAAAAGGAACUAAACAGAUGGAGCACUCAAGUAAUUGAAGGCCCAAUCGGAAUGGAGCCACAAAUCCAACACAACAGACCACAGUGUCUUUCUUCCAAAUCUUCUCUGGUUCUAUUUUUUUCACUAAUCCUAAACCAUAAUUUCUUAAACCUUUAUUGAAAGUCUAAGAAGUCAGGCAAUAUUAUCACCCUCCAUGUCGUUCAUGUUUACUAAUUGAGUGAAGUGAUAGCUUCUAGUAAUCCUUCAUUGAGUUAAUGCUAACUAAUUAAGAUUUCAGGCAUGAAGCAAAGCUUAUUAGGAGAAUUGUUGAAGAGAAUAUUAGGGAAUUGCUUCCCAACACAGAUGAAUUACACGUGGCCAAAUACCCGGUUGGAAUCGACUCUCGUGUUCAACCAAUUAUCAGUGAUCUUUCAAGUGGUGGAUCAGAUGAUGUUAAAAUGGUUGGAAUUUGGGGGAUGGGUGGAUUGGGGAAAACAACCGUUGCCAAAGCCAUUUAUAGCAAAAUUCAUCAUAGCUUCCAAUUCAAAUGCUUCCUUGAAGAUGUUUGCCACCAUGGUACAAGCCAACAUGGUCUGCUCUGUUUGCAACAAAAAUUUAUUUCUGACAUCUUACAACAUGCCAACCCUCAAAUUAUUAGUAGCGUUGAUGCAGGGAUCACUGUUAUAAGACAACACCUCCAACAUAGAAGGGUACUUGUCAUUAUUGACAACGUAGAUAAAGUGGAACAACUAAAUGCAAUAGCUGGAAAUCGUGAAUGGUUUGGUCCAAGAAGUAUACUUAUCAUAACAACACGAGAUGAGCAUAUACUAAAUCAACUUAGAGUGAAAAUGAGAUAUCCAGCUUGGGGAAUGAAUAAAGAGGAAGCUCUUGAGCUUUUCAGUUGGCAUACAUUUGAAAAUAGUUGCCCUGAUGAAGAAUAUCUAGAAUUGUCAAAGAAUGUAGUUUCUUACUGUGGGGGUCUGCCGUUAGCACUCCAAGUUUUAGGCUCUUCUCUUAUUGGCAGACCCAUAAUAGAGUGGGAAAGCCAUCUGGAGAAAUUGAAAAGAAUACCUGAAGGACAAAUUAUAGAAAGACUUAGAAUAAGCUUUGAUGGGCUAGAUGAUACUCAGAAGACUAUAUUCCUUGAUAUAUGUUUCUUUCUUGAAAUCAGCCAGGUUGAUGUGGAGAAGGAUUAUGUCACAAAAAUUUUAGAUGGAUGUGGCUUAUCUCCAAUAAUAGGAAUCAGUGUUCUCUGUGAACGGUGCCUUGUAACUGUUGAACGGGGCAUGCUAAUGGUGCAUGAUUUGAUUCGAGAAAUGUGCAAGAUAAUCAUUUCUGAAAAAUCCCCCACUCAACCUGAAAGAUGGAGUAGACUGUGGGACCUUGAAGCCUUAACAUAUGUGUUGACAAAUAAAUCUGUAAGCAGAUUCCCAACAAAGUUUCAUAUUAAUGCUCGCUAAAUUAUUUCCUAGUGCAUGCAGCUGCCUAUAUCUUAUAAUUAUUGUGUAGAAAUAAUAUUAAAUCGAUUUCCAAUCGAAACUAUAAAUGGUAACAAUUGUUAGUAUGCUGUUUCAUGUUUGUAAGUAAAUCAUUAUUCACACGCAAAUUACCCUUUUUAUUACUCAUCGUAUAUCCUUUUGUUUACUUAACAGGGAACUCAAGAAAUUGAAGGAAUUACUCUAGAUUUGCCAUGCUCUAAAAAGGCUAGUUUCAGCACAAAAGCAUUUGCCAAUAUGAAAAAUCUGAGAUUUCUCCAGCUCAUCAACGUAAAGCUCACUGGAAAGUUCAAACAUUUUCCAAAAGAGUUGAGAUGGUUGCGCUGGCGUGGUUUCCCUUUCAAGUCCAUGCCCAAGCACCUUCUUAAUGAACCAAAACUUGUUGCUCUUCACCUGCCCCACAGCAAACUCACACAACGCUGGAAGAUUUCCAAGGUACAAUCACCCCUACCUAGUUAUAAUUAUUUCUCUCUUUCUGAUUUUAUAUUGUAGGCCAUAUUCUUCUUGGAUUUUAAAUAAUAUUUUCUUUUGGGUUUAUGCAGCGCCUCGAGAAUUUGAAAAUCCUUGAUCUCAGUUAUUCCCAUAAGUUAAAAAAGUCACCAAACUUUUCAAGGCUCCCAAAUUUGGAAGAAUUGAAUUUUCGAGGCUGUUUUAGUUUGUCCAAGAUUCACCCAUCGAUCGGUCAACUUAAAAGACUCACUUUGGUAAAUUUGGAAUUCUGCCGUAAGCUUAGGUCUCUUCCAAGGAAACUUUGUAAGUUGAAAUCUGUUGAGACUCUUCGUCUGUUAGGCUGUUCAUUAAGAAAACUGCCUGACGGCUUAGGGGAGAUGGUAUCAUUGAGAGAACUUGAUGCAUCUCUUUCAGCCAUAAAACAAUUCCCCAACGACCUUGGGAGUCUAAUUUCUUUACAAGAUUUGAGUAUUGGGUUCAAUAGUUGUCGUAGCCUACCUAGCCUCAGUGGUCUUUCAAAUCUCGUAUAUUUGUGGUUAACUUCGUGCGAGAAUCUUCGUGCGAUCCCCGAUUUACCAACAAAUUU
rnacentral:lncRNA from 1 species